rnacentral:misc_RNA from 1 species
GUAGGUGAACCUGCGGAAGGAUCAUUACCGAGUAAGGGUCCUCUGGGCUCGACCUCCUACCCUUUGUCUACCUUACCAUUUGUUGCUUCGGCGGAUCCGUCCCCUCGGGGAUCGCCGAGGGGUCUAGGCCCCUUGGCCCGCGUCCGCCGGUGGCCCACAACCAAAACUCUUGUUUAAGCGUGUCGUCUAAGUACAAAACAAAUAAUUAAAAAACUUUCAACAACGGAUCUCUUGGUUCUG